UACAGAGGGUGCGAGCGUUAAUCGGAAUUACUGGGCGUAAAGCGCGCGUAGGCGGCUUUGCAAGUCGGGUGUGAAAUCCCCAGGCUUAACCUGGGAACUGCAUUCGAGACUGCAUUGCUAGAGUAUGGGAGAGGGAAGUGGAAUUUCCGGUGUAGCGGUGAAAGGCGUAGAUAUCGGAAGGAACAUCAGUGGCGAAAGCGACUUCCUGGACCAAUACUGACGCUCAUGUGCGAAAGCGUGGGGAGCAAACAGG
rnacentral:rRNA from 1 species